rnacentral:rRNA from 1 species
AUGCCUCUCGCUCUCGCUCUCGCGACGCUGCACCUCCCGCCCGCCAUAGCCGCCGCCCCCGCAGAUCCAACACCGCAGCAUGCCUCUGCGUCGCCGAGAGGCAUCGACACCGACUGCACCCACACCUCCCCUGCCCCAGCCACUUUCCCCGAGGUUCUGCGGCUAAUCUCUCCGAUACCGCAGGCAGUUCUCAUGGCGACUCGAGCAGCGGGGUGGAGGGAGCGCGCGACCAGGAUUCGGGAUGCCACCUUCGAGUGGAUCCGGUGCGUGCAGGAGUGGAAGGCGGUGGACCAGGCGGUGGCGACGGCAACCGAGCCGGUGGCGAGAUCUGCAGCUGCGAAGGACGCGGAGAUCUGUCAGAAGAGGGCAGACUUGGAGCAGAGGAAGCUGGCGUGGUGCAUCUUCGAAGAGGCCACGCUGGAGGAGAGAGCAAGGAUGCCCCCAUUUCCGCACUCGCCGCCGGUGGAGUUCGUGAUUUGGGCACGGGCGGAGGCGAAAUCAAGCGAUAAAAAGAUUUGCUUCAUCUGCGGACUGGAAGGCCACAACGUGAACAACUGCGCUGCCUGGUCUCAACCCCAUCCAGUGGCCACUUUCUUUGGAAGCUCGACCCUGGGGUUAGGGUUCUAUCAUAUCGAUGCACCAGUGGGACGGGAGGCAAACUGGCUCAACUUCAGGAUUUGUGGAGAGGUCUGGGUGAUGAAAGCAGAUAAAAAGUUUCUGGUCAGGUUUCUCCCCUGGAAGGAUGUAGAAGAACUAAUUGAGUUUCCAGCCUUUGAGCUGCCCAUAGAUGGAGUUUCAGUGUCUGUGGAGAAAUGGACUGGGGCGAUCGACCCCUUCAACGAACUGAUUGAAGCCUGGGUGAUUGUAGAAGGCUUAUCAUCCAAAUGGUGUACGUGGAAAGUUCUAUCACAGAUCGCUUCAUGCUUUGGGAUUCUAGUGGACGUGGACUGGAACGGUCUGAUGAAAAGUUUCUAUGAGAAAGUGAGGAUUAAGAUUGCUUGUAGAAACCCAGCAAAAAAUCCCUUUGAACGAAUCAUGGAAAUGAGGAGGAAGUUGUACAUUCUGUCUUUCACAGUGGAAGGAUUUGAGCAAAUUGGUGCUGAUGAUCCCAAUGAUGACAAUGGUCCAACUGAUAUAACUAUGGAUGAGGAUAACAAGGAUUUUGAAGAUGAGGAAACUGACAGGGAUAUCCUUGACGAUGGUGAAGAACCUAUCGAUGAUUUGGACCUGGCCAACAGGACUAACAAAGUGAAAUCUUCAGUUGGGAAACAGAAGAACGAUGAGGACAGUGCUUCCUUCCAUCCUGCUAUUUUGGCCGAGGCUUGCAUUUCUCCUGGGAUACCAUGGACAAGUACCCGGGCGAUGUUGGGGUGGAUCAACUCAUCUCAACAUCAAUGGAAGAUCCUAUGCAAGGGCGACCAAUCGGUGCUGCUCCAACGCUGCCUCCUACUCCUAGACCAACGAAGAGGCGAGCUACUCAGGAUCGCCUGGGCUGGGGCUGAGAGCGUGCUCAAAAAGGCCCCGGGGCGGGGGUGUACUGAAGGCUCAUUCGAGGUGAAGCUGAUGGAUCAUCCUGUCCCCGUGUAUGCGCUGAUGAACUUCUAG